rnacentral:rRNA from 1 species
AUUGAACGCUGGCGGCAGGCCUAACACAUGCAAGUCGAACGGUAGCACAGAGAGCUUGCUCUCGGGUGACGAGUGGCGGACGGGUGAGUAAUGUCUGGGAAACUGCCCGAUGGAGGGGGAUAACUACUGGAAACGGUAGCUAAUACCGCAUAACGUCGCAAGACCAAAGUGGGGGACCUUCGGGCCUCACACCAUCGGAUGUGCCCAGAUGGGAUUAGCUAGUAGGUGGGGUAAUGGCUCACCUAGGCGACGAUCCCUAGCUGGUCUGAGAGGAUGACCAGCCACACUGGAACUGAGACACGGUCCAGACUCCUACGGGAGGCAGCAGUGGGGAAUAUUGCACAAUGGGCGCAAGCCUGAUGCAGCCAUGCCGCGUGUUUGAAGAAGGCCUUCGGGUUGUAAAGUACUUUCAGCGGGGAGGAAGGCGGUGGAGUUAAUAACUUCACCGAUUGACGUUACCCGCAGAAGAAGCACCGGCUAACUCCGUGCCAGCAGCCGCGGUA